rnacentral:misc_RNA from 1 species
UCGAAGUUCCUAAAGAUCCAAUCUUUAGAGUUCUCUUGGAAUUCUAGCGGCCGAAACAAUGCCUCCGAAAGCUGUAAAGAAGACACCGACAGGAUCUGCAACGAAACGGGGCGGGCGGACAGCCCGAGGGACACCUAAAUCACAAGGAAAUCAGCCGGUGGCGGUGGCGGAUGAACCGGUAAAAGUUGAGGUGUCUGCGGUGGUGGAGGAGAAGAAGAAGGUGGAGGUCAAACAAGAAUCAAAACCGGUAGCUGACCGAAAAGCCGAGCCCGAGAAACCAGUGAAAUCUGUGGAGAAUCGGGUUGUUGCUGAGAAGAGUUAAAACAAUUUUUAUUGAUGGUCUAUCUGCAUCUUGGGAUGAGGAUCGCGUGCGAGAUUUACUUAAACAAUAUGGCAAGAUUGAAAAAAUUGAGCUUGCUCGUAAUAUGCCUUCUGCCAAGAGAAAGGAUUUUGGAUUCGUCUCCUUCGACACUCAUGAUGCUGCAGUCAUUUGUGUCAAGAGCAUUAAUAAUGAAGAGUUGGGGGAAGGAGAUAAGAAGGUCAAAGUUAGGGCCAGAUUAUCACGACCACUUCAGAGGGGAAGAGGGAGAUAUGGUGCGCGUGAUCUGCGACCUAGACGUGGGAUGAUGCGUGGCCCCCCUGCUCCUUGGGGUCGUCCAGUCUCUCGCCGACUCCCUGUUCGUGGAUCUAGAGUUGGUUCACGUGUCCCUCCACUUGGGGAUCGUAGUUUUAAACGACCUGUCACAAUGAGGGAUAGGCGACCAGUUAUGGCCCCUAGGGGCAGACCUAUGUCUCCACUAUCCAGCAGGUCCUAUGACAGGAGGCCACCUGUUCCUUCAUAUUCAAAGAGUAACUUGAAGAGGGAGUAUGCACGACAUGAGGAAAUUCCUCCUCCUAGAAGCAGAUCCACAGUGGAUUAUCCUUCUAGGUUUCCUUCCGACAGACGUGUUUCCUACAGGGAUGACUAUUCCUCUCGUAGCUCGGCAUACUCUGAUUUUCCUAGAGGUACUGCUCGCACAACGACAAGGAGAACUUAUGUUGAUGAUGAUUAUGAACAGCGGUAUGAAAGGCCUCCUCCUGCGUAUCGUGAGGGCAGAGGUAGGGAAUAUGACUCCACGUCGGGCUCCAAACGUUCAUACAGUGCAAUGGAUGAUGUUCCUCCCCGCUAUGCUGAUGCAGGACCCCGCCCUUCUCGUGCUCGUUUGGAUUAUGAACUUGGUGAUGCUAGUGGCGCACAAUAUGGGGAUUACAGUGACAGUAGGCUAGGGAGAUCAAAUGCUGGAUAUAGUGGCAGCCGGAGUUCCCUUUCUGGUCAAGAUUCUCAUGGAAUGUAUAGCAGUCGUCAAGGAGGCUAUGGUGGAGGCUCCUAUGAUGGCAGUGGUGUCAGUGGAAUGUAUUCAUCUGGCUAUGGUGGCGAUUACAUGUCUCGUAGCAAUGAUGUUGCUGGUAGCUCUUAUUCAUCAGCCUAUUCCAGCCGUAGCAUGGGUGGUAGUGGUUAUAUGGGCAGUGGUGAUUCUGGAUCUUAUUACUAAGAUUUGAGUUGGACAAAAAGAUUGCAACUGGAUGUGUAUAGCUGGAAGCUCCUUGUGCAAUUGGAUCCCACCAGAAGAAGCUGGAGUUGAUCUGUUAAUUACCUCAUUAUUUAAAUAGGGUGAGAGUGUCUUAGUUUUAGGUUGUAUUGCUCCAGAGCAUGUUGGAUUCUAGUGUGGGGAAAAGAGACAUCUGGUCCUUUCCUGCUGUAAGGAAUAAUGAGCUUUUUAGAGUACACUGACACUCAGCUGUUUAAACAAUGGAAUAUUUUGUUAUGGUAUCUCCAUGUAAGAAUUUACUGGAAUAAUAGGGGGGGUAUCCUGCAUGAUUAUUUCAAGGGCAAUGGUUCA